UACGUAGGGGGCGAGCGUUGUUCGGAUUUACUGGGCGUAAAGCGCACGUAGGCGGAUUGUUAAGUCGGGGGUGAAAUCCUGGAGCUCAACUUCAGAAUUGCCUUCGAUACUGGCUUUCUAGAGGCUGGAAGAGGUUAGUGGAAUUCCCAGUGUAGAGGUGAAAUUCGUAGAUAUUGGGAAGAACACCAGUGGCGAAGGCGGCUAACUGGUCCAGAUCUGACGCUGAGGUGCGAAAGCGUGGGGAGCAAACAGG
rnacentral:rRNA from 1 species